UACGUAGGGGGCGAGCGUGGUCCGGAAUUAUUGGGCGUAAAGAGCUCGUAGGCGGUCUGUCGAGUCGAAGGUGAAAACCCGGGGCUCAACUCCGGGCUUGCAUUCGAUACGGGCAGGCUAGAGUUCGGUAGGGGAGUCUGGAAUUCCUGGUGUAGCGGUGAAAUGCGCAGAUAUCAGGAGGAACACCGGUGGCGAAGGCGGGUCUCUGGGCCGUAACUGACGCUGAGGAGCGAAAGCGUGGGGAGCGAACAGG
rnacentral:rRNA from 1 species